UACGUAGGGGGCAAGCGUUGUCCGGAUUCAUUGGGCGUAAAGAGCGUGUAGGCGGCCAGGUAGGUCGGUUGUGAAAACUGGAGGCUCAACCUUCAGACGUCGACCGAAACCAUCUGGCUAGAGUCCGGGAGAGGAGAGUGGAAUUCCUGGUGUAGCGGUGAGAUGCGCAGAUAUCAGGAAGAACACCCGUGGCGAAAGCGGCUCUCUGGAACGGUACUGACGCUGAGACGCGAAAGCGUGGGGAGCGAACAGG
rnacentral:rRNA from 1 species